ACCCACAUAUAUAAGCAUCUUAUUGAAGAAGACUCCAAGAGAGAGAAAAAGGUCUGAGUUUUACUUGUCUUGGAGGCUACUUCAUCUUCCUCGCGUUCUGCCGAUAGAUUUCAAAGAGGGAGGCAGAUUUGGUGAUCUCCGGCAUCGGUGAAAAGAAGAAAAGGACAUUGGUAAAAGUUGAGAGGGUGAAGAAGAAAAAGCCAUGGCAAGUUCAAUUCCUUCCUACGAAACCUCAGAGUCAAUCUCCAUUGGGGCAGUGAUUAAAGCCGUGCAAGCAUUACCAGACAUGGACGAAGACUUCAUAUUAGACGCAUGUGAUUUCUUACAGAACCCACAGAAUGGCGAAAUAUUCAUGGCCUUGGCCCCCAAGCUACGAAAAAGAUGGCUAUUAAGAAAUCUACCUCGACCCGGCCAGAUGAAGAUAAAUUUUCAAACUGUGUGUGGGAAGAGAUUUGGUUUAGAGGUUUUAGCGUCGGACACAGUAGAAGUGGUGAAGGCUAAAAUAGAAGGGAAGGAAGGGUAUCCUCCGGAGAAGCAGCGGCUGUUUUAUGGCGGUGUACAGCUUGAGGGCGCCACAACUCUAGCGGAAUGCCGUGUCACCCCUGGCUCUGAAUUGAAAAUCAUUCUUCCAAAGUGUGGUGGCCAUUAACGCUCUAGCUCUUUGUUACUUUACUUUCAAUAUUUUUGUGUGUAUUUAAAAAGUGUGAUUAUCUUCUGUAAAAUCCUAACGACUGCCUAAUUGUGUUACUUUAUGGAUGUUGUUGAGUCCAAUGAGAAAAUAUAGAGGAUGAUUCCAUGACA